AUGGCCACCCCCUCCGGCGCCGCGGCCUCCGGCUUGGGCCCUCGCCGCUCCGCGCGGGCACGUGCGCGCCGCCAGCGGCCGGACGACGAGGCGCCGCCCGCCCCGGCCCCCGUCGCCCCUCCGCCCGACGCCGGCGGCCCCUCCUCCUCCCCUCCUUCGCGGAGAAAGCGCGGGGCUUCUCCCUCCCGCCGGUCCGUUCGCGCCAGAGAGAAGGAAGACCCGGAGCCACCGGUGGCGGCCUUGGAUGACGAUGAAGCGAAGAAUCGAAUGGAGGAAGACGAGCUGAAGAAACAGGGGAAGGAGAUUGUGGAGGCAGAGGGACCAGAGGAGGUUGAAUUUGAUGAAAAUGCAGAGGCCUUGAAGGAGGCACCGUUCUGGCUCCCCGAUGGUUGGAUCAUAAAUGUUCGCCAUGGUGAUGGCGGCUCGAUCUACCGGUAUUACACUUCGCCAGUGUCAGAGUACACAUUCUCGACGGAGAUGGAGGCACUAGAUUAUUUGUUCUCAGAGAUGGACGAGCGCAUAUUGGAGUCGGAGGCAUGCGCUGAGGACAACGAGCUUCAUAAAAUGCAUUCAUGGCUUCCGGACGGUUGGGUGGUUGAGGUCAGAGCUGGGACGAUGCAGGACAAAAUGUACAAGUUUUACGUUCAUCUGCCUACUGGAAUGCGAUUCUUCUCAAAAGAAGAUGUAUUGCGCUAUGUGAAUGAAGGGAAGAUUUCUGAAUGUGAUGUGAAGGGGCUGUGUGACACCAUCUCUGAAGAUAAUAUACUUGCACAGGUGGAAUUCAAUCCAGACGGGCUACCGAAAGGAUGGGUGAAAGAAUUGGUAUUUAGAAAGUGCAACGAUGGAAUUAGAAAAGACCCGUACUAUACUGAUCCUGUCAGUCAUCUUCUAUUCCGAACACUGAAAUCUGUAAUAAGCUACCUUCAGACGGGAGAAAUAAGUAGACAUGCCUAUCUUCCAAGAAGAAGUGUCACAGACAUUUACUCUUUCGAUGGGUGUGCAGAUCUGCCUCGAAAAAUGCUGAAGCGAUUGAAAGUACCAGGGAAGAAAAAACAAAAAUCUGUGCAAUCGUUGGUCUUCGAAAAGAAAUUACCUGAUGACCAGACGUCGAAUCGCUCUCAUGGUGGCACCUCCGCUAGCAUGAAUCCUCGGUCUGACACAAAAGAAAAGAGGGUCAAUACCGUACAAGCUAAAGGCAAAGAACCAAUUAGUUCAGAGACUACCAAGCAAGGCAAAGAACCAAUUAGUUCAGAGACUACCAAGCAAGGCAAAGAACCAAUUAGUUCAAAGACUACGAAGCAAGGCAAAGAACCAAUUAGUUCAGAGACUACCAAGCAAGGUAAAGAACCAAUUAGUUCAAAGACUACCAAGCAAGGCAAAGAACCAAUUAGUUCAGAGACUAACAAUCAAGGCAAAGAACCAACUAGUUCAGAGACUACCAAACGUCCAAGGGGCAGGCCGCGGAAAAUACCAAAGCAGACGAAUGAAACAACUUCAGAUUGCGCAAAGAGUUCAGACAAGGAGACAACACAUAUCGAAAUUGCUUCAGACAAGGAGCCGAAAAAGGAAUCGGAUACUGAAACUGGAGAGAACAUGUCAAAGGAAGACGCCCCUGAGGAUAAUGAGAUGGAGAAGCAUGGUAUGGCAACCCAAGAAGUGGACAACGAGAGCGACCUUGCAAGGACCCUUUCGUCACUGAGGAGGGGAAGCACGGAUCCGGCGACUGACCCGGCAAUGCGCGAGCGAGAAAAUGGCGAUCCGGCUGAAGCUAGUGCAAAGUCAACAUCCUCCGCGGUCAAGAAAUUUUACAUGAGAAGAAAUAGCAGCCAGAGCUUCAAAAAAUAA
rnacentral:rRNA from 1 species